rnacentral:rRNA from 1 species
GCAGCAGCCGCGGUAAUACGGAGGGAGCUAGCGUUGUUCGGAAUUACUGGGCGUAAAGCGCGCGUAGGCGGUUACUCAAGUCAGAGGUGAAAGCCCGGGGCUCAACCCCGGAACUGCCUUUGAAACUAGGUGACUAGAAUCUUGGAGAGGUCAGUGGAAUUCCGAGUGUAGAGGUGAAAUUCGUAGAUAUUCGGAAGAACACCAGUGGCGAAGGCGACUGACUGGACAAGUAUUGACGCUGAGGUGCGAAAGCGUGGGGAGCAAACAGGAUUAGAUACCCGAGUAGUCCCUGUCUCUUAUAC